rnacentral:rRNA from 1 species
GUUAAGCGACUAAGCGUACACGGUGGAUGCCCUGGCAGUCAGAGGCGAUGAAGGACGUGCUAAUCUGCGAUAAGCGUCGGUAAGGUGAUAUGAACCGUUAUAACCGGCGAUUUCCGAAUGGGGAAACCCAGUGUGAUUCGUCACACUAUCAUUAACUGAAUCCAUAGGUUAAUGAGGCGAACCGGGGGAACUGAAACAUCUAAGUACCCCGAGGAAAAGAAAUCAACCGAGAUUCCCCCAGUAGCGGCGAGCGAACGGGGAGCAGCCCAGAGCCUGAAUCAGUGUGUGUGUUAGUGGAAGCGUCUGGAAAGGCGCGCGAUACAGGGUGACAGCCCCGUACACAAAAAUGCACAUGCUGUGAGCUCGAUGAGUAGGGCGGGACACGUGGUAUCCUGUCUGAAUAUGGGGGGACCAUCCUCCAAGGCUAAAUACUCCUGACUGACCGAUAGUGAACCAGUACCGUGAGGGAAAGGCGAAAAGAACCCCGGCGAGGGGAGUGAAAAAGAACCUGAAACCGUGUACGU